rnacentral:lncRNA from 1 species
CCACUUGCAGCUAAACACAUAUGCACAAAAAUUAUUCAGUAAAAGCAAAACAGUUUUGGUGUAUCUUGAGAUUUUGUUUUAUAUCCAAAGGAAGACUAUAUCUUUCAUCUUUGAACUAGUCUUUGGAAAAUGCCGUCUAUAUAACAAAUGUUAUAGUUUUCUUCUAAUUGGGUCUUGAGGUCUCUCAGGAGAAUGGCUAUAAACUCUACCUCACUCUAAUGGGGCUCUAGGGGAGGGGCCUGUGGGUCUUUAGAGUAGCCUUUCACCAGAAAUUUCUUUUUUCUGGACCACAGCCUAAUGCUCAAGUAUCUGACCCAUGACCAGGUGUCUCACAGGAAACUUGUUUAUACUAGCAGAUGGCCUAGUAACUUUUGUCUGACCUGUGUGCAGUUUAUUCCUACCAUG